GUCAGGGAUGACUAUGUUGACAUAAUCUUUCACUUUCUCAACUAUGAUAAUCACAAGAAGCUCUGGCAUUGUCUUUUAAAGAUGUGUCGAUGAAGACAUUGUCAUCAUUGUGAAUUACUUCAAGCAUCAAGGAAGUCCUUCCACGUAUUCUUUCUGGCAGAGAGCAGGUUCUUACCUCUGGAACUAAAAGCAGGUGCAAUGGAUUGAAUAAUUCAUAGAUAGACAGUCUCACUCAGCCUCACAUACACCGGCAGUUCUGCAGUGGGGGCGAUUUUGCCCUCCAGGAGACAUUUGGUGGCAUAUGAUCAAAAUUUUAUUGUCACACUGCGGAGUGUCCCUGGCAUCUAGGAGGUAGCAUCUGAGGAUGCUACUGACCAGCCUGCAGUGCACAGGAUGGUCCCUGCAACAGCUGAUGCAGCCCAGGAUGUCCGAGUGUUGAGGCUGAGAGCCCACGGUUAACCAUCAGUCAGAGGCUGGAGGUAUCUCGGCAGAACAUUCACACCAGACGUCUCCUUCACAGCCAUGCCCAAGCACGUCUACUGCUAUGACAGCAAAGUGACAGUGAAACCCGCCUCUGCCUUCCCAUCCUUUUCAGGUAUCAAGUCAGCAAAGUGAGCUUAGAAAUUAAGAACUGCAAAUAUUCUUACAGUUUAUUAAGCUUUUAUCCUUUUACUUGCGUAUGAGGAGAACUCAAAUAUUCAAAGUUAAUCAGCAACUUAGCAGUGAAGUCAGAACAGAAAUUCCUGUGUCUAGAACCCAAAUUCCUUGAGUAUGAAAUUUACAAUGAACUGGCAGAGAGGGAAGCCUGGCAAACCAGCCGUCUGGAGGGACCUGUUUGCCUGGGUGACAUUUGCAGGCCACACUGUCCUGGUUUCUGGAUUCAGAAGGUUUGGUGUCUGUCUACAGGGACACACAGCACUCUGGUGCUGGCGUGGAGCCUGAACGCGAGCGGAUUCAAGACACCAAGAGUUAGAGGUGUGGUGUUUUCAUGUGUGCUUUCAUUCAUUUCCUCUGGGACCCUCACGUACAGACACGCUGCUCGGAUGUUGAAGAAGCACGCACUGGAAGCUCUAGUUGAACACGUUGCUCUGUUGCUCAGGCUGUGCCUCCUAACUGUGAAUUGGGGAGUUUGUUGCUAUGAGCUGGAAUUGACACUGGUUAUUUGUGGAACUGCCUAAUUCCUCAUCAGAAAAAUGCACAUCAAAACCUUUCCUGUGGAUUUCCUUUUUCUGAUGCAUUUGAGCAGAAUUAUCCUUCACUUCCCUUUUUAAUAUUGAAUUCUUCAUUUUAUUUCCCACUCUCUCAUAGCAGCCUGAGCCUCUCUAUAUUAUGGCAUUAAUAUACUGCCUUUUAAUUACUUCAGACAGAGAGCUGACAUUCUGUAGUAAAGCAAGUAAAUAUAUAUGAUUGAAAAGGUAGAAGGAGGCCAAUAGUGCCAGCCGUUAUAUCGAAGUCACUGAAUAAUGUGGAGAGGUAGCUUUGAGCCUCCCAGACAUCUUGAAGAG
rnacentral:lncRNA from 10 species